rnacentral:rRNA from 1 species
UACAGAGGUCUCAAGCGUUGUUCGGAUUCAUUGGGCGUAAAGGGUGUGUAGGUGGCGCUGUAAGUCGGGUGUGAAAUUUCGGAGCUUAACUCCGAAACUGCAUUCGAUACUGCGGUGCUUGAGGACUGGAGAGGAGACUGGAAUUCAUGGUGUAGCAGUGAAAUGCGUAGAGAUCAUGAGGAAGACCAGUGGCGAAGGCGAAUCUCUGGACAGUUACUGACACUGAGGCUCGAAGGCCAGGGGAGCAAACGGG